AUGCCGCGGAAGUACUGGAAGCCGCGGGGAGGCCCUGGAUGUGUGGCGCCCGCGCCGGAGCUUCACUGGAAGGCCCUAAAUCCUAACCCCGUCCCUGCGGAGGUCCCCGAGUGCUCCCGCUCCCGCGCCGCCGAGGUGUCCGACGACGACGCCUUUGUGGACGUCCCCGCCACCGCUGAGGAUGCUGUCGUGGAGGAAGAAAUAGCAACAAAGCUGGUGGGGAUUCACAUGGAGUUGAGUCAGGAGGAGCUGCGCGCUAACCAUCAGAUGCAGGAGGACGAGAUAUUUGCCUUGGAAGCAAUUUUUGGAGACAGCAUCGUCAUUUUAAACAAAAAAGAAGGUCAACGGUCUUUCCAGGUUCAUGUACAUAUUGAGAUACCAGAUGAUGGUAUAGAUGUCUCGGCAAGGCUCGACUAUGGUACUGGAACAUUAAAUUAUGGGGAAACAUGUGAUGGUGAUGCCUCGGAUAAUCUUGUUUACAAGUUUAGGGUUGAGCAUUUGCCUCCAAUCCUGCUAACAUGCUACCUGCCUUCGUCCUACCCGAGUCAUCAACCUCCCUCUUUCACCAUCUCCACCGAAUGGCUGGACACAGUGAAGAUUUCAUCGUUAUGUCAAAUGCUUGAUAUGAUUUGGGAAGAGCAGCAGGGCAUGGAAGUAAUAUAUCAGUGGGUUCAGUGGCUCCAAAACUCUUUACUUUCUCACCUAGGGUUUGCUGAUGAGAUAAUUUUAAGCAAGGGUGAUCUAACCUGUCAUGAAGAUGGUCGGGAUAAGCAUGCUUGUCGAGAUGAUUCUGCACCUGAUGUUAUAAUUACAAGGAUUAUGAGAUAUGAUGAUGAUAAGCGUCAUGAAGCCUUCUUACAUGAUAUUCAUGACUGCAUGAUAUGCUUCAGCGAGUUUCCUGGUGUCGAUUUUGUCACACUUCCAUGCCAUCAUUUCUUUUGCCGGAAAUGCAUCCAAACAUACUGCAAAAUUCAUGUCAAGGAAGGAACUGUAUUGAAGUUGACGUGUCCUGAUACAAAAUGUGAAGGUGUUGUUUCUCCUCAUAUAUUGAAAACACUUCUGGCGGAGGAUGAGUAUGAACGUUGGGAAAAACUGCUUCUUCAGAGAACUCUCGAUGCCAUGAAUGAUUUAGUUUAUUGUCCAAGGUGCGAAACUGCUUGCUUGGAGGAUGAAAGUAACGAUGCGGUGUGUCCGAGUUGUCUAUUCAGCUUCUGCACGCUUUGUACAUCCCACCGUCAUGUGGGGAAACAAUGUAUGACCGCAGAGGAAAAAAUUCGAAAGUUGGAGGAACGGCUAAAAUCUAGGCAGGAACGCGGUGAUCAGAAUUUGACAGAUGAAGUACUCAGCCUCCAGGCAAUUAUGAGGGAUGCAAAACAGUGCCCACGAUGCAAGAUCGCUAUAUAUAAGAUAUCAGGAUGCAAUAAGAUGACAUGUUCGAACUGCGGGCAUUACUUCUGCUACCAAUGUAACUUUGCAAUUGUUGGAUAUGAACACUUCAGACCGGGUGCAUGUGAUCUUUUUUCUCGGGAGGAAAUCCGUAGAUGGGAAGCACGCAUGAACCCAGGGAGGGGGCGUGUAGAGGACGCUCCAGCUCCUGCCCCAUUGCCUCAAGGACGAUAUCGUCACCCUUGUCCUACAUGUGGUAAAGGAACUCCAAAGAUUGGAAACAAUAACCACAUCUCCUGUGGGUCAUGCCAGACAGGGUUCUGUGCAUUGUGCCGGAAGACUGUCCACAAAACUUCACAGCAUUUUGGUCCCAGGGGAUGCAAGCAACACACUCCAGAUCGCGACUGA
rnacentral:rRNA from 1 species